UCCAGCGUGUAUUUGUAUCAACACGCCAGAGAUGACACAACCAGUGCCUCACCCAGCCCAACAAAGUCGGUUUUUGCUAAUGUUUUAUUUGGUCUCCAUGUUUGGCUGGGAGACAAGCAACUCUCUUUUGAUGUGUCGUUUCCAUGAACAGUACACAAAAAACAGUCUCUGUGAGAGGGUGGCGCUGCUGUGUCCUGCUCACUUGAUUUCUGUGCCCCUCCCUUCUGCAUGGGUUCUAGUGGGAGAUGUCACAGUGAGAAUAAGGACCUAGGGCUUUUGGAGUUGCCGCAGUGGCUGGGACUGCCUGCCCACCAAAUGCAGCUGGGAGCUGCUUACAGUUCCUGCCACAUUUUGGAAGCAGCGAGGAGAGCCUGUGGGUGGUCUUGCUGAAGGAGUCCUGGUCAGACAAUGUGCAGCAGCUGGUUCCCACCUGCAUGUGGGCUCUUCGCAGGUUCCUCAUGACUGCUGUCCUUGGGGAGCCCACAGGCACUCAGGCAUCUUUCCAGGUAUGAAGUUUAAAUUUUUGCCCCUUUAGUUUCUAUGGAUCAUUUUUGACAUUGUCCAAGUUGAAGCAACUGGAGCUUUCUUUGAUCUAGGAGUGAAGUUGACUCAGCUCUGCUUUGCCCAGUUUUAUUUAAGGACCGUGACUCCUGCUUCUGAAACAUUAUUCAUGAAUGCUGUUACUGCACUAUCUGCUUUUCCAUCUGUUAGAUGCCAUGGCCUCAGCAGCACAAAUGCCAUAACAGUAGCAGCUGUCAAAGGUCUAUUUAGGCAUCUUCGAAAAGUAGUAAAACCUGAUACCACUGAAGAUAAGCCAAGUUUUAUUACAAUAAAGUUUUCUUUGGGUCUGAUUUUAGAAAUGUUACUACUUAGAGCACCUCUGAAAUUUUACUUUUGAUAGGAGGGAGGUUGUACUCAUCUAUUAUUUUAAGAACAAUUAUUUUCUUAUUCACAGUUUAAACAAUGUUGUGUUACUGUUUAUAACCCAUCUACAAAUAUAUAACCCUCUGUUCUAUCUGUUCUCAGUAUUCUGUUUGGUUGCUUCCCAACUCUGGGAGUUCAUAUGGGAUAAAAGAGGAUCACUUGGACCAAACCCAUGUCUCAUCUUCUGGGUAACCCUUAUGACUUCAUGACUAAUCAAAAGUCUAAUUAAAAGCAUAGCUCACGAAGCAGAAGAUUCCCCAAACCAAGUCCUGUGUAUCACUUAGAAAUGUAAAAUUUCAAUUCUGGAGUGAAUAGUGCAUUUAAAUAUGAAUGAUAAUUGGAGAAACAAAUUAACCUUGUUUAUGCUAACUGAGUAGAUCUGAAGACUCCCUGAAGACAGGUGUCCCAUUAAUAAGCAUAGCCUAAUGGACUGCAGUUCCUUCAGAAGUCUCGUAGUCUCGACCAGGCACAAGGAAACAACCAAAGAAUUCUGCAACUCUGCAGCUCCAUGAUGCUGCACACAGACAAGCUGCGUGUCUGCAGGAGGCCUGGGCACCCCAUCCCUGGUCCUGUCUGCCUUUACACCCCUGUCCCCAUGGGCUCAGCACCUGCUGGUCCUUCAGCCAACCUGGAAAAUUGCAGGAGAGCACAGUUCUUCCAGUCCUAGCCCAGGAGGGACAGGGGUGAUGAUGUAAUGGCCACCAGCUGCUCUUGGGGCUAGGUCUGCCCCAACAAGAAAUCGAAGAGCUCUUGAUAGGUACCACAUGUGAACGUGUCCUUGGAAAAGAAACAGUAGCUGCUGUGAGUUUCCACAGAGGGCUUGCAGUGAAAUCCCGAGGAUACUUACUGCUGGUUGGUGUAAAAAUGCUGACUUUGGAGCUGCUGCUGUAUGUUUUGAGCUAAGAGUCUGUGUGACUUUUGCCAUCAAUCUGCAGGAUGGAGUGAGAGGAAGGCAGGCUGGCAGCCACAGCACAAGACCCCACAACCAUAGCUCCAGGCCCCACUACUGGUUCCACUGCUGGUCCUGAGCAGCAUUAUCUGUCAGUAACAAUCCUACAAGUCCUGGAUUUCUUGAAGGGGUUAACAGCUAAACUCUUCUGAAAUGGGCUGAAGUCUCCAUUUAAAAGCCUGCAAUGGAGACUAAUUCCUACAGCUGUGAGGAUUGUCAUUAGCCAUGCACUGCACAGGAGUCAAACAUUACAGCCUUCUGACAACUUUUUGGACGGCUGCAUCUCAUGUUGCCAUGGAAAUGGACCUGAGUUCAUUGAAAGCCGGGAACAGAGGCAAUGGGCAUUAAGAUGAUCAGCCUGGUGUGAAUGGAAGCUCUCCCUCCACAAUUUAAAGGACAUAACUCUGUCAGAAAGGAAUAGACAUUCUCCUCUUAACUGCUCUACUUGAUAUUCCAGAGGCAGACACCUCCAGCAAGAGGUGAAGAAAACAACUGCAGGUAGUAAUGUCUUAAAUCCUCUGCUCUAAAACUUUGCACUAAAUCAGGGAAUUAUGUUACAUGCUGGCACCUCACUGUACAACUAAAAAGUUUUUCCCUUUUCUCCGUUUCCUACAGAGAGUAUAAGAGGGAAAUAUAGGGUUCUUUUUUCCUUAUGAGACCCAUACACAUUCCUUCUAUUUGCAAUUUCACACACACACAUACAGAAUAUUUUUAUUUGUAUUUUUUAUUUGUAUUUUUGAAAUUAAAACCAAGGUUGCUUUAUUCUAGCUGAGGAAUCCCUAACCUCAUUUUUCAACUGCCUCUCAAAAUCCAGCAAGUGUACUUUAGUCACCAGGGAAAGGUAACUGUCAGCUAUGUGGAUAUGGAGCCAGAAACAACAGCAUAAUUUAUGAUUGAACCUAAAACAAAUCACCCUGAUUUUUCCUUUUGCAGUUUUCAGCAGUUCAAUUGAUUUCAAUAUGGCAACAAACCUCUCCCACCAUGCUUUAUGAUCACUUGUAUUUGAAAAAAUGCCCUUUUUGUUCAUUGUGGAUGCUUUUUAUGCUCCAAUGCAGAUGUUUAAAAAGAUUUAUUUGGUUUCAUUUUGAAAGGGCACUAUUUAAAUUUUUGUAAAUUCAAUUGUACAAUGCAGAAUACCAGAUUUCAUUCAAAAGGAACCUGAUAUAAUAAUAGUAAUAAUAAUAGUAGUAAUAAUAAUUAAUUAUAAUAAUAAUGAUAAUGAUAAUAAUAAUCUAAAUGUUCUAGAGCACAUCACAGCCCGGACAAUGACUGCAAAAGUGCAUAAGAGAGUUGUUACCAUGUCCACAGCAUUCAAGAUUAGAUCUUGUUUCUGCAGAUAUUCAAAGAAAUAACCUAAGCUUAUAGAGUGGAAUAUUCACGUUUCCUGGAAUUCAAUUUCUGAUAACUAUUUUACAAAACUUAUUUCACUCAAGGACAUUUUUAAGCAUCCAUUUGUUGACAUCAAUCUAUUUUUUUUUAAGAAGUUCACUUUAUUUCUUCAAAUAACAAAACAUUUC